UACGGGGGGGAGCAAGCGUUGUUCGGAUUUACUGGGCGUAAAGAGCUCGUAGGCGGCUUGUCACGUCGAUUGUGAAAGCCCGAGGCUUAACCUCGGGUCUGCAGUCGAUACGGGCUAGCUAGAGUGUGGUAGGGGAGAUCGGAAUUCCUGGUGUAGCGGUGAAAUGCGCAGAUAUCAGGAGGAACACCGGGUGGCGAAGGCGGAUCUCUGGGCCAUUACUGACGCUGAGGAGCGAAAGCGUGGGGAGCGAACAGG
rnacentral:rRNA from 1 species